rnacentral:lncRNA from 1 species
UUGGAGGGUGAAAAGAGAAAUAAGUAUUUAAAUUGCCUUAGGUCCCGACUCCUAAGCGAUGUCGAGAUGUCGAACUAGUGGGCGUGGUAUGAACAUAAGCCUCACUAGUCAAGGUCUAAGGGGAAUGAUUGUUUAUCCCUAAUUGAGGGCUUAAGGGACUGAUGGUUCAUCUUAAAACGUUGUUAUCAGCUCCACGAUGGGUGUCAAUGUUCUGAUCUCAAGUCCAUCGAAUGACAUCGUUAGGGUUAAUCACCCCUCAUCUAAGGUAUUAUGAACUUUUGGACUUUGUGCUCCAUUAUGGUUUUGUCCAUAAAAGGUGUCUCGAAAGGUGGAAAUAGAAAGAGGUAUUUAAAUUGCCUUUAGCCUCGACUCCUAAGUA